rnacentral:sRNA from 1 species
ACAACGACAUUGAGCAGAUUAGUAGAACGAUGCGUGCUAUCAGCGAGUAACCGGUGGUGGGAAGGUUACAGUACUCCCGUUCGAAUCACAACUGUGAGUUGGCCACUGACCAAAAGGUGGUCCGGGGAAGCCCGUUAGCGCGCAAAGUUUACAAUUCGUGAACUUACUGAGGUCGUCUUCCGUGAGGGGGCGACAAGAUGAGGUGGAACCGCGGCAACGCCCUCUUAGCCAAGUGGCUAGGAGGGCGUUUUGUCUUUUGUAAACUUGCUGAGGUUACCAGUGUGAGCUGGUAAUGAACUGGGGUGGAACCACGUUAAGGCGUCCCCUUG